rnacentral:rRNA from 1 species
UACGAAGGGGGCUAGCGUUGUUCGGAAUUACUGGGCGUAAAGCGCGCGCAGGCGGUUUCUCAAGUCAGUUGUGAAAGCCCGGAGCUCAACUCCGGAACUGCCAUUGAAACUGUGAAACUUGAGGACGAGAGAGGUGAGUGGAAUUCCCAGUGUAGAGGUGAAAUUCGUAGAUAUUGGGAAGAACACCGGUGGCGAAGGCGGCUCACUGGCUCGUGUCUGACGCUCAGGCGCGACAGCGUGGGGAUCAAACAGG